rnacentral:rRNA from 1 species
GACGAACGCUGGCGGCGUGCUUAACACAUGCAAGUCGAACGGGCCUUGUCCCCUUUUUUUUGGGGUGGGGUUAGUGGCGAACGGGUGAGUAACACGUGAGUAACCUGCCCCUCCACUUCUGGAUAACCGCUUGAAAGGGUGGCUAAUACGGGGUGUUCUGGCCUGCUCGCAUGGGUGGGUUUGGAAAGAUUCGACCGGUUUGGUUGUUUUGGUGGGGGAUGGGCUCGCGGCCUAUCAGCUUGUUGGUGGGGUGAUGGCCUGCCAAGGCUUUGACGGGUAGCCGGCCUGAGAGGGUGGGCGGUCACACUGGGACUGAGACACGGCCCAG